AGCAGUGGGGAAUAUUGGACAAUGGGCGCAAGCCUGAUCCAGCCAUGCCGCGUGAGUGAUGAAGGCCUUAGGGUUGUAAAGCUCUUUUGUCCGGGACGAUAAUGACGGUACCGGAAGAAUAAGCCCCGGCUAACUUCGUGCCAGCAGCCGCGGUAAUACGAAGGGGGCUAGCGUUGCUCGGAAUCACUGGGCGUAAAGGGCGCGUAGGCGGCCAUUUAAGUCGGGGGUGAAAGCCUGUGGCUCAACCACAGAAUUGCCUUCGAUACUGGAUGGCUUGAGUUCGGUAGAGGUUGGUGGAACUGCGAGUGUAGAGGUGAAAUUCGUAGAUAUUCGCAAGAACACCGGUGGCGAAGGCGGCCAACUGGACCGACACUGACGCUGAGG
rnacentral:rRNA from 1 species